GUACCUUUCUUAGUUGAUCCCUUUCGCUGUAUGGCGUGCUCGUUUGGGUUGGGCGUCGGCUAAGAGUGCUCAGAGCUUGGAUUAACUCCAGUCUCCUAUCAGGUAAUUCCUAAGCUUAGAUGGUUUGGAGCUGCGAGGGACUCGGAGAUGGCCACACUACUGUUUUUGUUUCUUUUAAUUGCAAUAAGUAACUGGUUCAUUUUUUUAUAUAAGUUUUAUCUUAAUUAAUAUUAUUAUUUGGUUUUGGGUUGUAAUAAG